rnacentral:rRNA from 1 species
AUGAAACGAAGGAAACGAUGCUCCAGUAGGAAUUUAUUAGGAAGAACAUCUACAGCCGGACGCCUUAAACCCGUCUCAUAUGCCCAGGCGGGCCGCCCGGUCACUGACCGGUCACAUUUUUUUAACCCAGACGGACGCCUCAAACGGCCCUCAAACGUCCGGGUUGACUGGCACGCCUCAUAUCCAGCCCAAAUAUGGGGUAGGUAUGUGGGCGCCCGGGCACGCUCGCCACGUCAGACUGGCGAAGGGGUCCCAGUCGAAAACGCCCUCAAACCCGGCGGUCCAAAACUCGUCUCCUCCGUCGGACCGGUGGCGCCGCAUGGUGCAGCUCUGGCGGGCCGCGUAGUGCCUUGCCCGGCUAUUUAA